GUUUACUUUCUUUAUUUUAAAUAAUAAAAUUUGAUUUUUGAGUUAAAAAGCUUAAAUUAUAUUAAAGGACGAGAAGACCCUAUAGAACUUUAUUUCAUAAAUUGUAAUUUAUUAUUUGAUAAUAAUUUUUAAUUAUUUUUUUUGAAAUUUUGUUGGGGUGACAAAAAAAAUUUUAUAACUUUUUUUAUUUUUAUCAUUWGUAUAUGAAUUUUUGAUCCUUUAUUAUGGAUAAUAAGAUUAAGUUACCUUAGGGAUAACAGCGUUAUUAUUUUAGAGAGUUCAUAUUGAUAAAAUAGUUUGCGACCUCGAUGUUGGAUUAAAAUUAGUUUUGGGAGUAGAAAAUUAA
rnacentral:rRNA from 1 species